AACGAACGCUGGCGGCAGGCUUAACACAUGCAAGUCGAGCGCCCCGCAAGGGGAGCGGCAGACGGGUGAGUAACGCGUGGGAAUCUACCCAUCUCUACGGAAUAACGCAUGGAAACGUGUGCUAAUACCGUAUACGUCCUUCGGGAGAAAGAUUUAUCGGAGAUGGAUGAGCCCGCGUUGGGUUAGCUAGUUGGUGGGGUAAAGGCCUACCAAGGCGACGAUCCAUAGCUGGUCUGAGAGGAUGAUCAGCCACACUGGGACUGAGACACGGCCCAGACUCCUACGGGAGGCAGCAGUGGGGAAUAUUGGGCAAUGGGUGCAAGCCUGAUCCAGCCAUGCCGCGUGAGUGAUGAAGGCCCUAGGGUUGUAAAGCUCUUUCACCGGUGAAGAUAAUGACGGUAACCGGAGAAGAAGCCCCGGCUAACUUCGUGCCAGCCGCCGCGGUAAAAC
rnacentral:rRNA from 1 species